AUGAAUUCUUCCCAGCGUAAGCGUUACCGUGACCGGGAUAGAUAUCUGCAAAUGACUCCAUAUCAGAGGGAAGCCUAUUUGCAAAGGAAUCUUGAGUACAAAAGAAUGAGGCGUGAGUGCAGUGCAAGUUGUAGCAAUACAGAACCAGCACCCCAGCAGAAAAAUACAAUAUCUAAUAAGAACAUAUGCAUGACAGUUUUGCAGUUACAGGCCCAUUUGCCAAAUAUGCAUCUUGUGCAUUAUGAAGAUUCUGAUAAUUUGGAUAGCGUGUUACGCAGAGAAUCAUCUUCAAAAACAAUGCUUAGUGAAUAUUUUAGAAUGAAAUCUGUUGAUAUUUUUGCGAGGAAUUUCUUGUACAAGGAGCUUCCAGAAUAUUUUGUGUGGGAUAGCAGUUGCAAGAAUUGGAGACGUCGCAAGCAGAAACGAAUUCGGAUUGGUAGACUUGUGUCUGCGCACCCUGCUGAAGGAGAGCGUUAUUAUUUGAGGAUACUACUAAAUCACGUGAGGGGAUCCAAAUCAUUUGAGGAUCUACGAACUGUUGAUGGUAUUAUUUUCUUGACAUUUAGAGAGGCUGCACAGAGAAGGGGUCUCAUUGAGGAUGAUCGUAGUAUUUCUAAUUGUCUCAGCGAGGCUACGGCAUUUCAAAUGCCAUCUGCACUUAGAAGACUUUUUGCAACAAUUUUAGUUUUCUGCGAGGUAACAAAUGUCCGUGAACUGUGGGACAAGCAUUUUGAAGCCAUGGGUGAUGAUUUUCGAAGAGAAAAUGUAAAUGCUGAAGUAAUUGAUCAGAUGGUGCUUAAAGAUCUUAGAAGUUUGUUAUAUUCAAUGGGAAAGGACAUAAAGAACUUUGACUUGCCCUGCUUAUUGGAUGAUAAUGAUUUGGAGAGCUUAGAUUGGGGAGAAUUAUAUGAUGAGAUGUGUAUUGAGGUUGAGCAGGAACACUUGGAUUUGUAUAACAAGCUAAACAAUGAGCACCGACUUGCUUUUGAUGAGAUAAUGACUCAUGUCUUGCACCAGAAGAGUAUGGUUUUUUUCAUAGAUGGUCCGGGAGGUACAGGAAAAACAUACCUUUAUAAGGCUUUGCUCGCUAAAGUGCGGUCGAUGGGGCGAAUAGCUAUCACAACAGCAACGUCAGGCAUUGCUGCGUCUAUCAUGCCUGGCGGUAGAACAUCACAUUCCAGGUUCAAAAUUCCCAUUAAUAUUCAGGAUGACAGCAUGUGCAACUUCAGUAAACAGAGUGGAACUGCAGAAUUACUCAAGAGGUCAUCUUUAAUAAUUUGGGACGAAGUUGCUAUGACAAAGCGUCAAGCUGUGGAGGCACUUGAUAGAUCCCUGCAAGAUAUCACCGGUUGUGGAUCACCCUUUGGAGGAAAAGUAGUAGUGUUUGGAGGUGAUUUUAGACAGGUUCUUCCAGUGGUGAGGCAUGGCAGUAGAGCACAAAUUACAGAUGCUACACUAAAGAAGUCUUAUCUUUGGCAAGACAUAAAACAUAUCAAACUUUGGCGCAAUAUGCGGGCUUUGUUUGAUCCAUGGUUCUCUGAUUUUCUCCUUAGAAUUGGUAAUGGUACAGAGGAAUCAAUUGGUCAAUAA
rnacentral:rRNA from 1 species